GGUGAAAAGCAACCAUGAAAAAUGGGUUGAAACAGUAGUGAAAGCGCUACCGGGAUAAGGGCUAUCGGGUGCUGGGGCUCUUUGGGUGUGCUUUAGUGCUACCCUCCGAGACGGCCCGCGAGGGUUGAUGUUGGGGCGAUAGACGCACUGCAGGAAUUCAGCUGCCUUYGGGCAGUGUUGUAGCCUGCGGUUGCUGAUCCYCCUGCGACCUUGUGUGAUUGCGGGUYUUGCGACCGUUAGCCGCCCGUCUUGAAACACGGACCAAGGAGUGCACCUUGCAUGCGAGUCGAAGGGAUUUGAAACCUGGAGGCGUAGCGAACGCGACGAUGGGGAAUGUCCUUGUGGCAGACACCCGCACCCGCCUUGUGCGAGGUAGAGCAUGUACGRUGCGACCCGAAAGAUGGUGAACUAUGCCCGGGUAAGGUGAAGCCAGUGGAAACGCUGGUGGAGGCCUGUAGCGAUUCUGACGUGCAAAUCGAUCGCGUAACCUGGGUAUAGGGGCGAAAGACCUAUCGAACCGUCUAAUGGCUGGUUCCCUCCGAAGUUUCCCUCAGGAUAGCUGCGUUCCUAAUGAGAGUCAGUUGCAUUGCGGUAGAGCGAAUGAUUAGGUGUCUCGGGGCCAUCAUGGCCUCGGCUCAUUCUCAAACUCCGAAUUGCGUGCGAUCCCGUUGCUGUGACCUUGUGGCACGCCGGGAAAAUGACAGGACGCAAGUGGGCUGGUUUUGGUAAGCAGAACUGGCG
rnacentral:rRNA from 1 species